UGUAUCUGAAGUCUGACGAGGAUGAGAACCUCCGGGGGCAAGAGGUUCGACUCGAGCGAAGCGAGAGAACGUUGCGUCAGCAACGGCCCGCAGGGCGAGCCACGCAGUG
rnacentral:sRNA from 4 species